ACAAGGGAGCAUCCAGACAGAGCAGGGAUUUUACCCACGGCUGGAUAUUGAUUGCUAUGGAAGGGGGAAUGUCCGUUGGCCACAUUCCGUGAGACACUGGCAUCAUCGUUGUUCUCUAAGCCUCUCUACCUCCUGUUUGAGGGAAAGGACACAGAAAAAAAAGAGAACUGCUUCAGACCAUCAGACAUCCAAGAGGACCCCCCAACAUCUUCCACUAUGUUUCAAUAUUGGUCUCCUGAUGCAGGACUCGUGGAUGUGAGGGCGGUUCUUCCCAAAUCUCACUGGGGAUUCGUUUCUCCGUGGAGCUCUCUGUAUAGGCACAGAAGCCCCAGACCUUACCGAGGAGGCAUGAAUAGUCCCCCAGAGGGCUCGUUAGGGACAUCGGUGUCACCCCGAACGUCAGCCAGGAGUCCUUUUCUGGCUUCCUCAUGUGAGGCAGUGAGAAAGUCAUGAUCCAACUGAGGGAGAAGAGCCCCCAUGUCUAAAGCCAGCAGGAACCUGCCCCUGAGGACUGGGGGCUAGCGUCCGGAACUACCUCAGUUCUAGGGAGGGGCGUCCUCCCUAGAAUUUCUUGGGGGGCUGGUAGUCCCCUGGACCCUGCCCUCUAGGGGCCAACUGGGCUAUGCCGGACCGUCAUAAGGGCGGGUCAGGCUGGAGGCUGCUCAGGGGCAUCAUAACCAGUUGUGCCUUGUUUUCCUGUGUGACACUGCCACACUCUGUCCAGUGAGGUUGUUCCAGCUGGUGAAAGGGGUGUUGUCUCUGUCUCCAAUUUACGAGGAGGGUGCAGUACACCAGAGGGGGCCCCGUCCAAUGCCUGAUUGAUGAGGGAUCCCAGGAAGGCUCUAUUGACGUGGCACCUGUCUCUGUUUACUGUGCCACCCUAGCUGGUUAGGAUUUCUCACUACGCCUCCCUCAGGUGAUGUGUAUUGUGCACCAUUCUACACAUCACCUGAGAGUUGUUUUGUUAUGUUAUUAUGUUGUUCUCUUUAUAAGGCCUUUUUGUUUUGUGACCAUUUUUCUUUGUGAAUGUUAUGCCGGCUUGUUUUGUUCUCAUUAGUGCAAUUUUAUGUUCGGUUUUGCUUUCGUUGGUUUUCAUUAAACUCCUUAGUUGAUGCCUGCAACAGUCAUUGGACUUUGUCCUCUACCAUUAUAAUGGUAGUGCACUGUACACAACCUGGAAGGAGAAUGUUAGAUGAACUAAGGUUGAACAUUUCCAUUAUAAAAAUCUUACCCAAAAAUAUGCUUAUUAAACACCUCUAAUUGACCCAAGGCAAAUACCACUGUAUGCAUAUCAUUCCCAAAUGUGCUUGUUUGU